rnacentral:rRNA from 1 species
AUGGGAACGCGAAGAACCUUACCUACUCUUGACAUCCAGAGAACUUUCCAGAGAUGGAUUUGGGUGCCUUCGGGAACUCUGAGACAGGUGCUGCAUGGCUGUCGUCAGCUCGUGUUGUGAAUGUUGGGUUAAGUCCCGCAACGAGCGCAACCCGUUAUCCUUUGUUGCCAGCGGUUAGGCCGGGAACUCAAAGGAGACGUGCCAGUGAUAAACUGGAGGAAGGUGGGGAUGACGUCAAGUCAUCAUGGCCCUUACGAGUAGGGCUACACACGUAGCUACAAUGGCAUAUACAAAGAGAAGCGACCUCGCGAGAGCAAGCGGACCUCAUAAAGUAUGUCGUAGUCCGGAUUGGAGUCUGCAACUCGACUCCAUGAAGUCGGAAUCGCUAGUAAUCGUAGAUC